rnacentral:rRNA from 1 species
CCUACGUGAGGCAGCAGUGGGGGAUAUUGCACAAUGGGGGAAACCCUGAUGCAGCGACGCCGCGUGUGGGAAGACGGUCCUCUGGAUUGUAAACCACUGUCCCCAGGGACGAAGAUGACGGUACCUGGGGAGGAAGCUCCGGCUAACUACGUGCCAGCAGCCGCGGUAAUACGUAGGGAGCGCGCGUUGUCCGGAAUUACUGGGUGUAAAGGGAGCGUAGGCGGGACUGCAAGUUGGGUGUCAAAUCUACCGGCUCAACCGGUAGCCGCACUCAAAACUGCAGUUCUUGAGUGAAGUAGAGGCAGGCGGAAUUCCUAGUGUAGCGGUGAAAUGCGUAGAUAUUAGGAGGAACACCAGUGGCGAAGGCGGCCUGCUGGGCUUUUACUGACGCUGAGGCUCGAAAGUGUGGGGAGCAAACAGGAUUAGAUACCCCAGUAGUC